GAUGAACGCUGGCGGCGUGCCUAAUACAUGCAAGUCGAGCGAACGGACGAGAAGCUUGCUUCUCUGAUGUUAGCGGCGGACGGGUGAGUAACACGUGGAUAACCUACCUAUAAGACUGGGAUAACUUCGGGAAACCGUAGCUAAUACCGGAUAAUAUUUUGAACCGCAUGGUUCAAAAGUGAAAGACGGUCUUGCUGUCACUUAUAGAUGGAUCCGCGCUGCAUUAGCUAGUUGGUAAGGUAACGGCUUACCAAGGCAACGAUGCAUAGCCGACCUGAGAGGGUGAUCGGCCACACUGGAACUGAGACACGGACCAGACUCCUACGGGAGGCAGCAGUAAGGAAUCUUCCGCAAUGGGCGAAAGCCUGACGGAGCAACGCCGCGUGAGUGAUGAAGGUCUUCGGAUCGUAAAACUCUGUUAUUAGGGAAGAACAUAUGUGUAAGUAACUGUGCACAUCUUGACGGUACCUAAUCAGAAAGCCACGGCUAACUACGUG
rnacentral:rRNA from 1 species